UUGUAGGCGUACCACAGCAUGGGCACAUGUGCGUGUUGUCUCUUUCCUCGUCUGCGACUGUCAGUGUGCCCGCAUGUGACUGCCUCCGCUGGGUCCCCGCGGGGGGCCGCUGGUGGCCCCGCCCACCCGGGGCCGGUUCCAGCCAAUCAGGUGCUAAUGUGCGGGAACAGGAGAGGGCUGCGCUGACAGAUGGCGGGCUGACCUGGAAAACCUGCCCCCUUUUCAGGGUUCAGCAGUCGGCAGAUGACAGGUAUUAUUUCAUAACCCGAAGACUAAAGAGGGGUCGGUGGUGGCACACACACUCACAGGCAAACACGCACACUCUCACUAUUAGUUUGAAUCAUUAACUAGUUGCUGGCUGAUUUCCUGUUGAGGUUUUGCAUUCAUUAGAGAUGUUACAAAUGUUUUACUAUGUUUUUAGAUUCUAUUUAAUUCUUAAAAAUCCAAGAAUCUCAUGUUAUAAAUUAGAGGGAAUAUGUUUUAAUGGGAUUCAUGCUUGGAAACCUUUGUUUUGAUCCACCAAAGUAUAGUGCCUCCUAUACCUGCUUUGCACACAGGAUUAUUCGAUCGAUGGACACCCUGAUAUUUAAAAAAAAUUUAAAUUUAUCUUUAAAGAAAAUACUAGUUUGAUUAGGAUGCAGGAGUCAAACCUAACACACACACACACUGUGCACAGAUUACACACUGUACUUGCACGCGGUACAGAUAAUUUCACACUUAGCCAUCCACACACACACAUUUAUCUGAGGCUCCAACCAGCCUUGUAAGUGUGAUGUCAGGGCAAAUCUGUCUGGCAGAAAGUGCUUUUUGAUGAAGUCAUUCAUAAAUUUUAAUACAACAUGUCAGCGAACAUGAUGUAUAGACUGGCUGCUCAUUCAUAUUUCAAACAGUCUGCUGUUGAGAAAACAGCGGGGUUGUACCUUGCUCUACCUUAAAGUGCUGUGUGGUUGCGGCUGUCAGAGUCUGAGCCUAAGAGCAGACUGUUAUACUUUUAUCACAUAUCAGCUGUCAACCCUGUCUGGCAGCAGUGGAAGAAUAGACAGCUUGCUUACAUAUAACCCCACCAUUAAGGACCAAGAUACAAUACAUGCUUGGUAAAAUAUUGUUUUUCAGUAAAAUCAUUUAUUUGCACUUGAAAAUCCAAGAGCAAGGAAGUCAAUUGCAUCAUAAUUCACUCGACGUUGCCUAAUGCUAGCUACCUUAGCUAGUGUUUGUGUCUCAAUUCAGAAGAGUGAUUGUGUCACAGCAGCGCGACAAGGCUGUGCCAUUUCGAAGGCCCCCCCCCCCAAAUGCUGGCCCAACCUAUCCCAGAAUUCAUUGCACUUCGGUGACGAAAAGUGUUUCAAAGAGAUAAUGGCGGCAGCAAGCAACGAGACAUCUAAUACUUGAGCAACACCCUUCAACUCAACCGAACUGUUAAAAGUACAAAACAAGGUGAAUCAAAACUGCUCGUCGAGUCCAACUUCAGCUCUGUCGCUAGGCAACAGCAGUAAGGACGGGACGAGCUGGUGACGCCGAUUACGGAAAGCUUCUGUAGACCAGACCAUCUCAUUCCAGUUCGGCCUUUGCAGUCUCCCCGGCCCAUAAAGACGGCCUCCUUUGUUGGCUGUGUAGCCCUUGUCCUCUAGAGACAACAGCCCAGAUUUGGGACACAUAUGGACAGUUGGACACUGUUGUUGUUCUUCAAAUAGGAGGAAAUACUAGUAUAUUUAGUUGGGGACUAUUUUCAGCAGUGGAAGACUACAUUUUGGAUGUUCUAGUUGCUGUAGUUAAGUCACAAUAGUGGUCAUGGUCACAAUAAUGAGUGAAAGUUCCACUCUGUAAAACACUAAAGUUGUUUAAAACCUUCAAAUUCCUCUAUUCCCAACAUUGAAUGUGGGGUCAAAAGGUCAAGUAGACGCCAGAACAAAACAUAUUCACCGUGUGACAACGGCCUGAACAGCUGAGCCUCGUAUUGAAUUCCCUUCCACAUAACUCCGACUGAUGCUCGCCUUGCUGAGUCCAAGGUGGCUGAUAUCUGAUUUUCCCAACCUAAGACGCUCGCCUUGUAUGAAUAUGAGACACAUUACCGGGCCAUUAAUUGAUCCGGGCGCCGCUUUGAAAUGUGGACCUCCCUGAGAAUCAGGAAUUAGGGCCGACUCCGGGGCCAAUUAGGUGAGCGUCAGCCCGGCUCCUCUGUCGCAUCUCAAUCAGGCUGGACCGUCCACAGGUGAAAUGCCAGACGGAGUCGCGGGUCGCCGCUGUGAAUGCUAACGGCAGGGAGGGCGGUAAUGCUAUUCACGUCCAAGCCACGCCAUGCAUACAGCGCAGGGGGCAGAAGCUAAUCGUCUCUCAUUUGCAGGUUUUACCUUUCAUGAACCUGCCGCUGCUGCUAAACGCCAUCGACUGAUCAGAAACAGGUUCUCCUCUCAGUAUGUGAUGCCAGCGUUUACCUUGCUCUUUCAUCUCUGCCAAUAAUAGACGCAGCACGUCUGUGAGUUGCACAGAAGCAGAGAUGAGGAGAUAAUUAUCCCUCUGGGAGGAUCCCCGCUCUCUCUGUCAUUUUAGAGAUUUUACUUUGUAAUACACAGUUACUGAAAAGCUCAGGCUUUGAUAAGAGUUAUAAGAGAUUGUAUUGAUUCCUGUGGGGGAUUCUUCACUUUGGCUACUUGCACAGGGAGGUCAGGAGGUAGCAUUUCUUUGUCUUGUUCAGUUUCUCAUCAGUGAAACAGUCUGAAGUUUAAGUUCUAACUUAGAUGCCUCUCGUGCACUUCUUUCAGUCCUGGGAGAGGGAUCCCUCACAUGUGCCUCUCUCUGAGGUUUUUACGUUUUUUCCCCCUGGUGGUUUUUCCUUACUCUUGAGUAAGGGUUAAGGACAGAGGAUGUAGCACCUUGUUAAGCCCUAUGAAACAAAUUGUGAUUUGUGAAUAUGGGCUUUAUGAAUAUAAUUUGAUUGAUAGAGAUCUGUCGUAUAUUUGAGAUCACGUAAUGUAUAUGAAUUUUAGCCAUUUGCCAAUAAUUCGACAAUAUCAAUCGUUAGCCUGUUUGACUCCAAUGAGGUGGGUGAGUUUAAUAAACAAUGACUGCUGCAGCUAAUUGUUGAUUUGUGGUUUGAAUGGAGCAAGUCCUUAUAUCCACGUGUCACAGUGUUCAUGAUGCGAUUUAUUUAGGGUUAAUAUUGUUGCAAUUAUAUUCCAACUUUUAUCUUAUAAAUAUAAGACCCACAAAAUAACUAGAAGCCUAAUGUAACUAAAAACAGUCUAUUUCCAAGUUACUUUUAAGGGUUUAACAAUAACUUGCAGUGCGAAAGGGCGCUUUAAGAAAAUUAGGGCUAACAUAAUGAUAUGCCAAAUUUAUUUUUAUUAAAAGUGUUCUCAGUAGAACAAAAAUGGCAAAUAUGCAGGUUUUUAAAAAAUACAUGACUUUAUGAUAUCGGACUCAUAUUCUCCUAUAUCAAUACUAAUUAUGACUGCCUGUCUGUCAUGUUUCAGCCAUAUAAUCUCUGGGAGCUGCCUGGCCGACCAUGUGCUGUGUUCAGAUGUGUCCUGCAUCUCUAAACCCUGUUGUAAUCCCGCGUACAGCCAGCGUGAGCCUUAAUUGAAAUAAUCCCUGCCGAUGAGCGCGGCCUGUGCUGCACAAACCCCGCAGCCCGAGCCAGUUUCGUGAUGGGUCCAGUUUAACCCACUGUGUGACUCUGACCUUUCCCUCGCUGCUCGCUGAGACCAUCUGAACCCGUCCCAGUGAGGACAUCUGGUCGGAUACUCGGGAGGUCGUUUGAUCCGCCUGGCUGGUCCCAGAGGCCUUUCAGACCCUCAUAGACUUACAGUAGAGAGCUGAUUGCUGCUGGAGGGCUGAGUGACAGCAGCACAGUUUCAUAUCGGGGAGGGAAAGUUAUGACUGGGAAUAGAUUAAUCAUGCUUCCCCACAUUUUGAAAAUGCAGCUCACUCCCUACUUCAGAAUAAAAUAAAAAUAAUGUACACACAGAACACAGAGGGAGCUUAUCAUGUGAACAGUGAAUAAUGUUUUGGAUACACUAUUUUAAACUCUAUGGGCCCUGUUUAAAAAAGGUUUUAUAUUUAAAAAAGGUUAACAUAGUUGUAAUGUCUAUUUUUAUAUAACAUCAGUGUAUGUACCAGCUGUCAGUUUUUCAAACAGUAAAGCACUUGAACCAAAUCCAACAAUGUUGGUCUGCACAGACCGUCUGUACUUGAUUGUUUUUUUUAAUUUUAUGUUAUUUUGGGAUGGUUUCUAAGAAUUUAUACAAAAUGGUACGAUACGGUACAACACUACUCAGUACGAUACAAUGCGAUAUGAUGGGACACGAUAGGUUAGGAUAUGUAUAUGUUAUGAUAUAUAUACAGUGUGGUAUGAUAUCAUGACAGUGUGGUACAGUACGAUACAGUAGGAUAUGAUGCCGCACAACUCAGUACGAUACAAUAUGUAUGAUACAAUAUGAUACGAUAUGAUAUGUACUAUAUAUAUGAUACAAUAUAACACAGUACUGUAUAAUAUGAAUUGAUUGAUACAGUAAAAUACAAUAUGAAAAAGAUAAUCAAAAAGAGGUCGACAAGGGAGCAAGUUAAUUAAGUACAGAAAUAAAAAUAGACAAUAAAAUAAAACAAAAGAAAUAUUAAAAAAAAAAACAGUGCACAUAAUUUGCACCUUUCACUACAGACAGAAUAUUAGUGGAACUAUUGGUAUAAUUGUAUUUUCCUGAUAUAAUGACCAUUUUAACAUACAAAUAAUGUAUGAGGAUGGAUGCUUUUGGUAGAUUACAAGAUAAACAAAUAAAAUCAGGUUGUAGGAGACCUUUGAGACAAUAGCAAUAAAGGCAAUGACAUGGACGACUCUAAGAGAAUCAUACAUUUAAUACAAAUAAAUAAUUUGUAAUUAGAUAAAAUGAAACUUUGAGAUAAGAGGUCAUAUAAAAACUGUCUUUAGCUCCUAAAAAUCCUCCACUGACUCCGAAGCUUCUAAAGACAGAAUGUUGAGCUAAUAAACUACAGGACGACGAGUAAAAACAAGUAAAAACCGACACGUUGUCUGUUAUUUUAAAGAUUUUAAACAUGCCCACUGUGUUUAAACAGCACUGUUUAUAAUGCAUUACCUCGGAGUUAUCAUCCGCCGUGUGUUCCUCACUAAUGAAUGUGUUUCUCUCUCUGUAUUUAGUUAUUCUGCCUCUGAAUGGGUUCGUCUCUGCCUCUUUUUCCUGCCACUGUAUCUAAAACAGUGCAUUAACAUCUGCAGCCCAUUUAGUGCUGCUGACACCAGGCUAAUAACAGUGUGUGUGUGUGUGUGUGUCUGUGUGUGUGUGUGUGUGUGUGUUAGUGCGUAGCUUAAGCACCAGCCAACAAGCACAGCUGAAAGGUGUCACCGAGGCUCCUACGCCUCCUCUAACAGUUACUGAUUCAGGGGGCGCUUGUGUUUUUUCUUUUUUUCUUCUUCUUCUUCUUCUUCUUCUCCUUCUUCCAUUUCUGUCUUUUAUAUGACCUAAAGCUGCUCGCUCUAAAGGGACAUUCAACUCAAAUGCUUUGUGUGCUCAGCAGCCAGUUUCCAGUCUGGUUCUGUGGCUGUAAAGGCGGAGUCAUUAGACCUGAGGUUGCCGCCGCCAACACCUGAGGGACUAGUUUUUCGUAUCUGUAGGUGAAAUUGGUGUGCAGAUGGAGAGGAGGGGCGGGUGUUAAAAACCAGAAAAUAAAACGCGUGUAACGCAGCGUCCACGCCCCUCGCGUAUUCUCCCAUGCUCUCUCUUUGUCUGCAUUGUUUUUUUUUCCCGUCCAUUUGAAAUUAUUGAUCUUUUACAAAUAUUUUUCAAGGUAUCUUAAUUACUCGCCAAAGAAGCGGUGCCUUGGCCGGCGGACAACACAAAUAAGUUAAUUUGCAUUUCUGUGUUGUGAGUGUUUUGGCAGGCGCCGCGCCGGUCCAGAUUGUAACCCCUAUUUCUGCCUCCAAAAACCUGCCUUGGAGGAGCGUCCACGGAGGGAUUAGGGAUUUAGUGGGGAAGGUAAGUGUGACUACAAGCUUUGGCUCGCCAUCUGCUCCCCAGCAGAGUUGAGGCCAACCUGUGCAGCCUGCAGCAAAGACCUGGGCACUGUGCUAACUCUGGCUCGAGCCAACCUGGCGCCCGCGGCCCCAAUCACCAACAGUCUGCUGAUUAGUUGUAAGAAGCACUCCAUAUGUAGCAAAGUUUUUUUUCCUCCUCUCUAUCUGUGUCUGCCUCCCUUCCUUCCUCUCCUACUUAUAUAUUCUCUCGCCGCAUUAAAUAAAUAUGGACGUAUGCAUGGGGGUGUUUUUUUUUUUUUAGCAAAUGGCGGAUCGCCUUGGGUUGUCUGGCACCGUAGAAACGAGCCUGUUCUUCUUCUCUCUUUCUCCCUCUCACCUCUGACAGAAUACCAAGCCAGGGAAGGAAAGGAAGAUGAAGAAGAAGAAAUCCUGGCUGUCCUCCUCUCUUCUUCUCCUUUCCUCACUUGCUCUCUUUUGCCUGGCAGCGCCGGAAGACAGAUGACAAGGGUUUGUGGCCGUCUGAUCACCCCUGGUCCAUUCAGCUCCUCCUGCUCCAUCAGUGGCCGCUCUUUCAGGCCCAUGAUGUUUUUGACCUGUGAUCAUGAUGAGCAGUUACAACCAGCAUCUCUCCCCAGAAAGAAGACAGCAAUAGAUAUGUUUCUGGUGGCGGCAGAGCAGGUCGUUGCAUUGGCACUCCCCCAGCAAACAGGAGAAGAAGAAACACAAGGAAGUGGUGGUCCAAGCAGCUCAGAGCGGAGGUUCGGGUUCACCACUGCCCACUGUCCACAAGGUAAUCCAACCUACCUGAGGUCCCACCACUCAGCUGCUGUAACGGGAGAGAGAGGAGACCGGGCCUCAGCCACGUCAGCCCCUGAGACAUCCAAGCGACCAUGACACCGCGGCAAACCGGUGAUGACGGAUGCCUUUUUGUCUUGUGCAGUCAGGCCGGGUCGCAGGGACGGCGGACGACUGUAAUUGCGCCGACAGGUGACACAUCUGUAGAAACCAGAAGAUGAUGGGGAGACUACUUAGAUCAUGUGACCUGCACCUCACAUGUCCCCUCCAAGUGCGGGGCCCGAGGUUCUGUUUGAAAUGGUGAUGGUCAGAAAAAGCACAGACUGACAAGUUGGGACUGGUGAUGAUGCAAAGUCCUGGAUCAUCUGGCUUCGGGCGGACCACCAUCGUUUACUUGUUGCAGUCGAGACGAGUUUCACCACGUCGGAGGAUUUUCACGGUUCACCGAACUGAGGAUUUAAAAAAGCUUCGGUGGAUGAUGAUGAUGCUUGGAUUUCAGCUGUUCCCUGGUGCUGUUCUGCCCUCUACUGGCUACUUGUUGGAAGUGUCGCUGGUUGACUGAGAAGUUCAAGGUCGCCGUGCGGCUAUUUCCAGCUCGUCUUGGCUCUGAUCUGUGUCGCAAAAUGACAAGGUAACGCAACUCGGGGGGUCAGCUGUGUUACAGGAACGCUUCCACGGAUCGGCCGAGAGGAAAUCAAUCCUGCCUGACAGUGUCUUCAGGAUACUCUGACCUGACUGUGCCAUGACAACUGCACGCGCGCACACACGUGGGCUCUGGUUUGUCGCCCGUCUUGUCAAGGUGCAUCAGAGAGACGAGGUGUCUGCCGGAAAGUCCAUCACCGACUAACUGCUUGUGAAAAGUGGAGCCGACGUUCUCAGGGAGGAAGGAACCAAUCGUUAAAGAACGGGGAACGACGAAACACAUCCACAAAAGAGUCGGCCCUGAUCGAGCAGGACAUGCGUCCGUCAUCUCCAACAGGCCGGGCGUUCAGGGCCUGAAGAGAGCGUCACUGGCUGGAAUCCAGACACGAGUAACACAAACAUUUACGAGAAGAAUAAAAACCCAAGUUCAGUCAUGCGAGUUGUUCCCUAAUUGAAGGAUUAGAUAAUUAAGUUGUACGGGAGCCGGGCAGAGUUUGACGGCACCAUUGACCGCGUGCUGGAGCUGGUGUGUCUCGCUGGAUUCACGAGGAUCCUCACGGGAAACUUUGUCAAGAAACGGAACGGAAAACUGCUGAAUCCACCCCUGCUGCCGCCAUUCAAUGGCGCGAAUGCCCAGAAGCAGGCGCUACAGGCCGGGGUGCGGGUGACUGGCUGCACGGUUCACUUUGUGGCAGAAGAGGUGGACGCAGGAGCCAUCAUCGCGCAGGAGGCCGUGCCCGUGCUGAGCUGCGACAGGAUCCGGGAGGCCGAGCACCGCGCCUUCCUCGCCGCCCUGGAGCUGGUGGCCAGCGGCGCCGUCACACUCAGCGAGGACGGCCACAGCGUGUGGAAGACGAACCCACAGAGUUAAAGACCAGACGUCAAACUCAACUUUAUCCAUUCGUGUCAUUAACACAAUAAAAACAGUUUGCUUCUGUAAAACUUUAUUGUACAAACAAGUGGGAAAGAAAUAGAAAAGUUUAGUCUUUAAUUUCCUCCACUUCAAACUGUCCUUUGCUUGUCAUUGUCCGGUCCAGUUGAGAGGACAUUCUUAGAUCAAAGUAGCAUUUCAACUUGUACUGUAAAGAAGCAUCGUACUGGAAAUGACAUUCCAAUAUUAGCCUUUAAGAAAUGUUACGAUUGUAAUAAUGCCUGCACUGGAAUUAGCUAGUACUGCUUGUAGCGCAAUGAAUUCUUGUCUGUCAUUAUUAAAGUGUCUGUUACAGUGUUGCAUACAGAUGUCAUGUCAGCAUGUAUACAGCAGAAGCACCUUCCACUCGGUCUGAAUCUGGGACAUUUGUCCUUGUAAAAUCCGAGACCCUUAAUCCGUCCAGUCUCUUCUUUGACAGCUCAGAAUUCUUCCUCUCACGUUUGUCUCCUGUGGAAGCGAAGCACUGACAGUCUCUCGUUUCCAGCUCUUGUGGUCAAACACGACUCUCCCUGCAAGCCACGUUUCCCCAGGAGGUUAAUGAUGUCCUCUGUUGACAAAGAGGGAGGAGCGUCAAAUCACCUUUGUCGUAAUUGAAAUUGCUUCAGACAUUUAAAACUCACCUGGAUCAUUCUCGGCGAUGGUAAUGAGGUAAAACAACCCUGUAGUGGACAGCAGCUCCGCCACCAAGGGGAGAAAUCUGUCCGUUACUUGUCGUCCUCGCGUCCCACCUGCCCAGGCGGCCUCGAUACCUCUGCUCCCCACCUGGACAGGACACAAGAAAAGCUUCCACUGUUAAAACGCUCCCCAUCUUCCACCUGUAGAGGGCCUGCUGGACUGAGAGGCGUCACCUCCUCUGAUGGCGUCACCACGUAGGGAGGAUUGAAGAGGAGGACGUCCACUUUGCCACUCAGCCGGGGCAGAAGACACUCCACCUAAAGAGAGGAAAACAUUUAAAUAUGCAUUGUGGUUCAUUUGAAAUCUGUGCAUGUGCAUGUAAAAGUCUCACCAGGUCUGUGAUGACAGGUUGUAGUGACACGCUGUUGCAGGAGGCCGUCUUCUCUGUGCACUGCGCUGCUGCAGGAUUCACAUCAGUGCAACUGGGAGACAAACACCGAGGAUCACACUGUGCUAAUGCACGAGUGUAUUUCACUGUAAAUGGGAUAUCAGCUCACAUGUAUAACGCUGAGGGUCCAACCACCGACGCCAGGAAGGCGGACACCGCUCCAGAGCCGCUGCCGACCUCCACACACACAGCCGGGCUGCAGACAGCGGAGAGAGACACACCUGGUCUGAGUGACGGGGCUCAUUUCCGGUUGAGUUACAGCGGAGCGUGCGUCUGACCUGAUCGUCUGCAGCCGCCGUGCGUCUUUCUCCAGCGCGUCCAUCAGAAGGAACGAGUCCUCCGCAGGCUCGUAAACCUCCUGGAAGUGUCCCCGUCCGGCGUGGGAGUAAACGGGAGUGUGGUAGCCGGCGCACAUGUCUUCCUUCACGGCUGCAGCCUUGCAUGCGUUCCUGGCUCGCGUUCCCGGCUCGCUCCACCAUCCACUGCGUAAAUAAUGAAAGAGAUGAGGGGAAGCAUUACCUACAAGAUUGUGCCCAGUUACCGGUCCCGGUCCAUGUCCCGUGAGGAUCAAGUGGAGUCAAACUUUACAGCUUUGAAACAAACAAACCUCAGAAAACUCCUCUCUUGACUAAGGUACAAUGUGAUGAAAUGAGGCAGUAGUUCACGUUUUCUUCUCAUCUUUACACAGUUAAACAUUACACUAACACGUAACCUGCUCACAAUUCACUGUCAAUUUGUGCUACUCACAUACAUUUAGAUGUCACUAUUUCAAAUCGCAUGUUUUAGUACUUUUCUUACAGCUGAUCAUAAAUAUAUAAUCUUUCAAACAUGUAUUUUCUUGGUCUUUAGACCCUGUGUGUGAACUCUUGGUCAUCAUCAAGAAGGUACAUCUGCAUUUUUAAGCUCAAGUAGCCCAAAAAAAGACAAUACACAGCCUCUCUUCAAUUAUGUAUUCUCACAUCACCAAAACAUAUUUCAACUAAUGCUCAUUUUGCUCCAUUCCCCAGCUGGGUAGCCAAGUGCUCAUUAGUUUUAAAGAAGGUUAAUCCAUUUAGGUUUUUGCAUUUUGAUAUGCCAAUUACGUCUGAUCGUGGAAUAGGCAUCCGUCAAGGUAAUAGUGCAUAAACACGCGCGGGAACAUUAGGGAGAAGUCAACGUUAUAAUAAAGUAGGUGUUAAUUGGUGAUGGGAGGACUGUCGGCUAACUCGUGUGUGUAAUGUACAGUCGGGUGAGGAAUAGAGGGUGGGGGGAGGAGGUUUCGGCUUUUUUUUUCUACCCCCAAAUCAAUCAUUUGCAUACCUCAUGCUGCGAGAUCUCUGGGUAUCGAGUCCCAAUGCUUCACUAGAAAGAUGCAUCGCACCAGCAGGGAAUUGUGCUUUCAACAAUAUACAACUAUUGGUUUACUCAGACAAUUGCUGAUUUUAAACAUUCUUUCAUUUGAAUGAAGCCAAUUUGCCUUUUGUGUCCUGAUUUUUACUUUGCCAUUUUUUUUUUCUGACAGAAUGUUUAGUGCCAAUUACUUUUCCCUUUAAUAUGUAUUGUAUCCCAUCAUGCAUUGCACUGACACUGAAUGAAAGAUUACUUCAUUGGGACUCAGUACAAGCGGCAACAAACAGUAAAUCCUUGAAAGUUGGAGCAGAUGCUUCAUAUUUAUUCAUAAGUGAAAACAUGCUCAGUAAAUGUUGAAUGCCAUUGGACGUCGCUUUGGAUAAAGGUGUCUGCUAAAUGACAUGUAAUGUAAUAUGUUCCGACUAAUGAUGCAGAGAAUGUGACGUUUUCUAGCGUUUUUUUGUUAAUUAGCCAGUGAGCUCACAGACACAACAAAGGUGUUUUCCAUAUGUUAAUGGUUCUGAUAAGUUUGGUUUUAUUCGUUGAAGCACAAGGUGGUGGCAAACUGUAUGUGUGAUAUUUUUGCUUCAUUUGUUAAACUGAUGGAGACUCAUCUUUUAGACUUCAAUAAAGCAAUUAUACAUUGAAAUAGACAUUUACAGACAAUGUUGUCAAAUGUUUUCCUUGACAUCUUCUUGUACCUCUGUGACUUUGCAGCAGUCCAAGCUCAUUUACACAGUAAACUUCAGUCCAGCCCUCUUUGUUCACUGGCAUCUGGAGGUGAGCGCCGAUCCCAGUGUCUGUAUGAAGGUGUGGACGUCCCUGAAGGUGUUGUAGAGCGGCACCGGAGCGAGUCGCAGCACGCUGGGCUCUCUCGUGUCCAACUGAGAGACAGGAAGUCAGUGUUGGAACUACUCAAUUCCCACAUUAUUCUGCUUUUACAAGGCUGUAAUGGUGAAGAGCUGAUUCUUUUCAAACCAGGCUGAUGCUCAAGACUCACACAGUUGCAGCCAGUGCGUGUUAAUCCCAUUGAGGAUUCUAUUUCCUCUUUAGCAUUGUUAGCAAUGCACACGUGUGAGUCCAGCACUCAUCUUUAAGUGACAGUAUGUUACUUGCUAUUAAAACAUUAGAUUGAUUAAACUAAGUUUGAUGAUUCAGAGUUUCCUCACCCUGAACCUCUGUUCUUGCAACAUCUCCUGUGACAAGUGUUGAACUGACUGAUAGUCGCAGCUUCAAUUCAUACUGUCAGAAUCAGGUGAAUGGUGAAUUUACACUGAUUACAUGAGGUUCAUUCCAUACCUCUCACAGGAGAUCAUACCUGCUUCAUGUUUAAAGGUAUACUUCACAGACAAAUGAAAUUUCACUCCAUCUACUCACCACUAUGCCAAUGGAGGGGUGGGUAAAGUGUUUCACUCCACAAAACACUUUGGGACUCUCAGGAGUAAACAACGUCUGAAGAAUGAGUCACUUUGGCUGCAACACUAUUUACCCCCGAGACUCCAAACACAUCACCCACCCCUCCAGCAGCAUACUGGUGAGUACGUUUAAAACUAGCGAGAGCAGGCUACACCUCCUCCUACCAAAGCUAAGCCUCUAAAACACAUGAAUAAACAACUUGCACGCAAACUCUGCUACAAGUAAUAAUUUGUCAGUUACUCACUGCGACUCCUCUCUUCUCCAGCUCCUUGAAAACCUUGCCAAUGGGGACCGAGAAGGAGAGCGAGAGCUGGGGGUCGGAGGGCGUGAUGAUGCGGACGUGUGGUUUCUCAGGCUGCACGGCGGCGUCUUCGGUGUAGUGAUGCUGGAUGAGAUACUCCAGGUAACCCGUCAGGAGGAGUGACUUCCUGCGUAAUGCCUGCAUACUGGUCAUGGCAAACACCUGUCAAAAAUAAACAACAUUUAAAACUCA